CUGUAACCUACAGAGGUGGACCACAGGGAAAACAAGAAGCAUGAGAAAUUAUAAUAAGGCUCUCCCUAAAUCUUCGGAUGCUGCCCCUGUUAUGCCAGCCCUGGGUUCCUCCUAUUCACAGGGAGAACUCAGCCCAGAGACCCAGGCAGCUGCAGCCUGUCCUUCAGCCCUAAACCUGGGAGAAGUAUCCUGUACUUCAGAAGUCUCUUGAACAAAUGGGGACUUGGAAUAAGUUGAGAAUUCCCUAUGGACCUUGUAACCUUUGGGACACUGGAGGAGGAAUGUGGCUUCCUUUCAGGUCAGGAACCCAGGCUCCCUUCCUGGAAGAACAGUGGGGGCAUUCCUCUAGACUCUGCCUAUGCUGCAGCCUGCCCGCUGCCUGCUAACUGCUCUCCGGAAGACUGACAGCCUGUGCUAGGUGUUGGAUUUCGGCAGAACCACCUUGAAGAGGUAAGGUGAAAACACAGAUGGCAGUUAAAGAUCUGCAAAGAAUCCCUGGUGUUUGCGUUUGUGGGGGUCUACCUGCAUACCACCAUCUCAACUUGCAACAGGAGAGUAGGGCAGAGAGUAAGGUCAAAUUAGCAUUCGAAAGAAGCUAAUUGACUGAAGGGAAGACUAUUAACCCUUUCUCACCAAAGCUGAAGUGCAACAAACAGAGCCUUGGGAUAUACAAAAGGGAGGGGAGGGCUUCUAUAAAGGUUCCUUCCAAUCUCUGAGACUGGACAUGGGUACCAUUGAGCUCUGCCCUUUCUCCCAGCCAUGGCUCACUUCCUCCCCUGAAAGUGCCGUCUUCCUUAAUAAACUUGUUCUGCUUCUA